rnacentral:rRNA from 1 species
AUUGAACGCUGGCUGCAGGCCUAACACAUGCAAGUCGAGCGGCAGCAGGGAGCUUGCUCCUGGUUUCCGCGGCGGACGGGCGCGCGAUGCCUAGGAACCUGCCCGGCCUUCCCGUCACCCGUCCGUAACCGGGCGCUAAUACCGCAUACGCCCUGUGUGAGCAAUUGGGGGAUCUCCGGUCCUCCCGCUAUCAGAUGGGCCUGGGUCGGGUUAGCUAGCUGUUGGGGUAACGGCCUACCAAGGCGACGAUCCGUAACUGGUCUGAGAGGAUGAUCAGUCACACUGGAACUGAGACGCGGUCCAGACUCCUACGGGAGGCAGCGGUGGGGAGUGUUGGACUAUGGGCUAAAGCCUGGUCCAGCCAUGCCGCGUGUGUGGAGGAGGUCUGCGGAUUUUAGUGCACUUUUGGUUGGGAGGAAGGGCAGUGAGUUAAUAGCGUGCUGUUUUGACGUUACCAACAGAAUAAGGACCGGCUAACUUCGUG